UCCCCUUGGCAAUGGGCAAAGAGACUCCUUGUUGGUGGUGGUGUUCUUUUAUUACUCAGAGGCAGAGCAGUGGGCAGUCCUUUGUUAAUCCUAGCUUGAUGCUUGGUUUUGUGGUCAAAGCUGUUUAAUGCCUAGGACAUAUAA